AAACAUACAUCAUUCUUCCAAAGAAUGCAUCUUGAUGUUUGUAGAGUUGGUAAAACCAUCUGUCAUAUACCUGAACUUUUGAGCCAAGCAAGAUAUUAACUAGAAUGUCUUUUGACAUAAUCAACUGUACUGUGAAAUAAUCCCUUAUAUUGUGCAUAAGCUCUUGUUAGUGCAUUUACUUGCUGAAAAUAAAAACAGAGGAAGCAAUUCCAUAAGUUUCCUGAGGAAACUUUUCGGUAUCCUACAUGCCAUUUGAAAACUAUGUUGCAUUAAUUCUAAUGCAUGAAUAGCACAUAAUGAUGAGGAAAAGAAUCAUACUAUGUCCCACAAAAGCAAGCAACUUGAGUUGAAUUCACUAUUCUAAUUUGAUCAAGGCUUCUGCGGUUGAUGAUGUUAGAUGCCCCAUUAGUUGGAUCCAAAGAGUUCAAAAAGGAUAUCGAGUUUGACAAACAGAGAUCUGCAAAUUUCAGAGUAUUAUUAGUAGUUCGGUGAUCUUAGUUGCUGGAUUGAUUUCAUCUGACUCACUGGCAGGAUUCGGUUAUCAUUCCACUGCUUGAUGUAAAUGCUAAAAUAUUCAAGAGAGCUUUCGCAAGGCAUUUCUAAAAGAAAUCGAAAUCAUCAAAGGAUCAGGAGCUCGAUGUUCCAGGAACUUCUCUAAACCCUGACAAUGCAUCCUUGGAAUGGUGAAGAUGGUGGAGUGAAUUCCAAAGAAGGAUUUGCUGGCGAUGGUUACGGAGGACUCGAAGGUGGUGCUUCAUUGCUUCAAUUGGCAGAGGUUGUCGACAGUCUCUCUUGAAAAAAAGAACUUCAUCAAGUUGCUCAACAGGUCUUGAACAUUGAAGAUUUACUUCAUGUCAUCCUGACAUCAUUAUCAGUCAUGGACAAGCAGUGGGCUGAUGCCAUCAACAUAUUUCAUGAGAAGUUUGAUUUGCUGUCAAACCUUAUUAGAGGAAUUUUUGAGUCUUCUCGGAGGUGCUAGGACCAGUCUUGCAGUCCAUCAGUUUCUUGUUAAUUCGCUGGGUGAAGUGCCUGCUGUAGAAAUUAUUGGCUUUAGAAUGGGUGAGCUCAAGGGUCUUUCAAGAUGGCGUUCUCAUUAUCUAAGUAUUGGUUUGGAUGAGACACUGGUGGAUAAUGCAGUAGAAAAGGCUGGAAUGCUGCUUAUACAGGUUGAGGGAUUCAUGAGGGUGCUCUCAUCUGCUGUGCAGCCGGGUCCUUCCUUGUGGUGAAUUCCUAUAUACUCUUGUGAAUUUCGACAGUGAACUUGUUGUCGUGUUCUUGAAGGUUCUAUAUGAUCAAGAUCCUGUUAUGCUGCUUCUAGAUCUAUCUGAGGCUGAUGAAGAAAUUGACAUUGAUCCGUGGUGGGUCAUCUCUUCGUCCUUUGUACCUGAAAUUUGGUGAGGCAAUGGCUUGGAUACUGCGAGAGAGUCAGAGAAUUACUGCAGUUUGGACGAAUUGGGGACACCGAAUAUUUGCAGAGGACACUUGCAAAGGAAUUUCAACAGAUGGAACGUAGGUUUGAUUACUUGACAAUGUACAUGGAAGCUUUAGUUGGGUGAUCUUAUCGGAUUGGGCUCUUUGUUUAGCUUAUGAUCCUUGUGUAUGGAAAUACUGUAUCUCAUGUUUCCUGAUUCGAAUCUAAUUUGAUCAUCACAGUUUCAAGGAAGUUGCCCAGAUGCCUUUCUCUUCUAUUUCAAAAAAGAUACUUUGUAAGAAUUCAUUGCCACUAUUCCCUCUUACGUCAGUUUCAGCAUCCACCAGAUACAUUCCCAAUUCACUGUCCUUCUAUGGGGUAUAUACCUUUAAUCUGAAAAUACAAAUAUUAUCCAGAGAUCCACAUGUGGAGAGUACAACUACUUUUUCAUGCUAAUCAUUUCUCUGUAUGGCUCUGCAGGAUGACUCUGAAUUUGCUUCAGAUCAUAUUUCCUUCCAAAUACCUGACGAGUCUUUUUUAGUUGUAACAAAUUGUAUAGCAAUAGUGUGAGGACUUACCAAUGAUUUAAGCAAUGUGAAGCGGGGAAGACCUUUGGAAGGAUCUUGUUGUGCAUCCCUCCUGGUCACUGUUGUGUGGAUUUGGCUCUAUAUAAGGAACCGCUUGUGCAAAUAACUGGGAGUUGUACCAAUUGAAGGUAACUCGUGGAUCCGGAGCUUGCAUAUUGAUUUCUUACUCAUAAUAUCCUGAGUUCUAUUCCGAUCAUGUCAAUUCACUAUUUAAGACAUUGAUCACAAAAGGAAAAAACUAGCAUAUUGUGCUUUUCUGUCGACUCCUGUUCUUUUCAGAGUUUUAAGAAGUGGCUCUGGUUGGACUGGGAACCAGACCUGUCAAGUCUGGUUUCCCAGCAGAAAUGGUAUUGGUCAAGAACUGGUGGUAUUGAUCCUGUUCAACCGGUAACCAGGUGUACCUGUCAACUGGUACCCGGCAAAUCUGUCAACUAGUCUGGACCAGUUCUUCUUUCUUCAAUUUGUGGUGGAUAAUGACAUCAAGCGUGUCUAAUCUGUUUAGAUGCUACGGUGUCUGCCGACUCACUGGGCUUCUUUUGUUCUGAAUGUGUGUUAUCUAAUAUAUGCAGAGUAUUCUAUCAGAUGACAUCACAUGCAAUCGGUUCAAUCGGUCAAACCUGUAGAGCACGGUUCUACCUGUUUGACCGGUUGAACCACUGGUCCGGUUUUAAAAACAUUUGUUCUUUUAUUGUUCCUAUUUAUUAUUUAUCUGCUCUCCUCAUCAGCAUGUGUACCAGCAGCUUAGUUUUUCCUCCUAUGUGCAUAAUGCAUAUACAUGCCAAUGCAUGCUUGCGAUUUCAAAGGAUGUUUUACUUUCUGCCUUACCGUAACUGCAAAAGUUCCAACAUAUCUUGACAGCUGGAGCCUUGUACUUUGUGUAGGUUAAGAAAUGUGCAUUUGAUGGCCAUAAUGGGACCCUAUCUUGCGCCUGGAGAUGGAGAAUGAGAAGCUUCGCAGCAUUCCCCAUACUGUAGUUCCUCCCUUGUCAGUUAGUGAUUGAAGUUGUGCAAAAGUAUGCUCCAAAGAAGAACAUUUUUUCAGUCUAAGAGCAAGUAGAGGUGUGGCUUGUGUUUUAGCUGCAAGAAUGCAGGCCCUGGUCUACAUACUGGACGAGGAUGAAGAUGAAAUUUCUGAUUCAGAAUGACGGUAUGUUCAAGAAUUUGUGGUGGUUAUGCCCGUGUCGUUCCAGUGGGUGAACCUCUUAAGCCUUGAAGCUGCAGACAUCAGUGUGAGAAGCAAUGCAUGUGGGCUUUCUGACUGAAGCGCUUACACUCCACCCUUCUUGGAGAGUCUUAAUUUAUACCUGCCAUGUGCCUUUUCUGCUAGGCAGGCAUUUGUCGAAGAGGAAGAUGGAGUAAAAGGUAACUAUUUAUCUAUCGAGUUAGAUAGAAUUGACCGAAAGAUGCUGAGUCAUGGCUUCUGUCCGGUGGUAACUGUCUUCGUGGUAUUGCUGCAAGCUCUGAGACCCACUCGAUAGUGCCAAGCUUUUGCUUCAUCUGUAUAUGUUUAUUAUUUUCAUUUGUAAGAGAACCAAAUGUUUGGUUUGGAUUAUUUAUACUUUGGGUUGAAUGGUAAAUGGUUCGCACAGUGUACUCGACUAACGAACUUUUUAUUUGAAUGUUGAAAUCUCUCACCCGAGAUUGACUCGCU